UACGGAGGGUGCAAGCGUUAUCCGGAUUCACUGGGUUUAAAGGGUGCGUAGGUGGGCAGGUAAGUCAGUGGUGAAAUCUCCGGGCUUAACCCGGAAACUGCCGUUGAUACUAUUUGUCUUGAAUAUUGUGGAGGUAAGCGGAAUAUGUCAUGUAGCGGUGAAAUGCUUAGAUAUGACAUAGAACACCAAUUGCGAAGGCAGCUUACUAUGGUUUUAUUGACACUGAGGCACGAAAGCGUGGGGAUCAAACAGG
rnacentral:rRNA from 1 species